UCCCUUUCUCAUGUUACCAUGUAUCAGAUGUGUGGGCUCAGCACUUUAUUGCUGGUGGGUUGCAGAUGGUGAGCAAAGAAGAGGCCUCUAUCUGAAAGGGAUCAAAGAGUCAAAGUAGGGCAUGGAGACAUACAGAUCCCUGCUCAGGAACCCACUGUGGGCCAAUCAACAGCUUCCCAAAACGAGUCAGGGAGUUCCAGAAGCUCCCAUUCCAGUGCCAGCUGAGAAUCCAUUUGGAUAAUAACGGAG